AUUGAACGCUGGCGGCAGGCCUAACACAUGCAAGUCGAACGGGUGGCGGACGGGUGAGUAAUGUCUGGGAAACGGCCCGAUGGAGGGGGAUAACAACCGGAAACGGUAGCUAAUACCGCAUACCAUCGGAUGUGCCCAGAUGGGAUUGGCUAGUGGUGGGGGUAACGGCUUACCCAGGCGACGAUCCCUAGCUGGUCUGAGAGGAUGACCAGCCACACUGGAACGGAGACACGGUCCAGACUCCUACGGUAGGCAGCAGUGGGGAAUAUUGCACAAUGGGCGCAAGCCUGAUGCAGCCAUGCCGCGUGUAUGAAGAAGGCCUUCGGAUUGUAAAGUACUUUAAGCGAGGAGGCGUUACUCGCAGAAGAAGCACCGGCUAACUCCGUGCCAGCAGCCGCGGUAAUAC
rnacentral:rRNA from 1 species